rnacentral:rRNA from 1 species
CCUACGGGUGGCUGCAGUGGGGAAUCUUGCACAAUGGGGGAAACCCUGAUGCAGCGACGCCGCGUGAGCGAUGAAGCCCUUCGGGGUGUAAAGCUCUUUCGGCAGGGAAGAUAAUGACGGUACCUGCAGAAGCAGCUGCGGCUAACUACGUGCCAGCAGCCGCGGUAAUACGUAGGCAGCAAGCGUUGUUCGGAGUUACUGGGCGUAAAGGGUGUGUAGGCGGUUCUUUAAGUUUGGUGUGAAAUCUCCCGGCUCAACUGGGAGGGUGCGCCGAAUACUGAGGGACUAGAGUACGGGAGAGGAAAGUGGAAUUCCUGGUGUAGCGGUGAAAUGCGUAGAUAUCAGGAGGAACACCGGUGGUGUAAACGGCUUUCUGGACCGUAACUGACGCUGAGACACGAAAGCGUGGGUAGCAAACAGGAUUAGAUACCCCGGUAGUC